AAAUCUGUUUUUUUGUUCUUUCUUUCUCCGCCGUCUUCGAUCUGCUCCUCUUUCUCUUCUUCUUCGUUGUAGAUCAGUCCGUGGGUUUCUUCUUCUUCUCCUCUGCUUCAGGUGGUGGGGCGGCGGCUGAUGGAGAAGCUGGGAGGCGUCGGUUUGCUUCUGUCGAGGCUGUCGAAGACGGCGCUGCUGCGCCUCUUGCUGGUUCUGUUCUUCCCUUCUGCAGGCGGCGGCUCUGUGUUCACAGAGGAAGAUGACUGAUGGGUGGCCAGCUGAAGGCCGAUUAGCUGGUCGGUCGGCUGCCUCUAGCAGGCUGGUCGAUGGAGAUGAGGGAGACGGUUCGGUUUGGCUGACCGGGUCAGUGGCUCUGGUUUUGAGACGGGAGAAGAAACCUUUGGUGAACGACGGCUCUGGUUUACCAAUCAACACCGGGGGAAGGGGGAAGUAAAUCGGCUGCUCUGGUUUCCCUUUUUGGCAGAGAAGUGGUCGCCGGCGUGGGUUGGAGAGGUGAGGGGCUGAAGGAAGAAAAAAAUAAUCCGGGUGCUUUGGGGGGCGGUUUGGCCGGAAAAAAAUGAACAGUGUAGGGGCGGCUGUGUUUUUGGUUUUUUAGGGUUUAGGUUUUUUUUUGUAUUUUCUGAUGUUUUCAAAAUUGC
rnacentral:lncRNA from 1 species